rnacentral:lncRNA from 1 species
GCCUGCUGGACCACAGGGCGAGGCCAGGCCCAGAGCCCAAGAGCAAGGACACAGAGGAUCUAGCCCUGGGAGAGUACGUGCCCACUGGACUGGAGCUAGCGGCCCUGUGGCCUGAGAGGCCGUUGCCUGCCCAGAAGAGCGGCCCUGAUGGGUACUUCAGUGCCAACUAGAGUAAACAACACCUCGGAGGAGGAGGACUAUGACGAGGGGCUGCCCGAAGAGGAGGAGGGCAUCACCUGUUACAUCCGCUACUGCCCCAAGGACAACGGCUACCUGCAGGGGACGGACUGCAAUAGGCAGGGCUACCUGGCUCACGACACACGCCACCUGGAGAUGGAUGAGUGCCAGGAGGUGGUAGAGGAGUGGACGGAGCCAGGGCCAGUGACUCCCCAGAGGUCUGCCUACUUGCCAAGUUUGGCCACAGCCCCAGCAGACACAAAGGCAGUCCCAAGUUGCUGAACCUCCCUCCUGAGGCCAAGCACCCUGCCAAUGCCCAGAGGAGCUUCAAGACCAAGAGCAGGACCCUGGAGGAGAGGCCUAAGUGGCCCCAAGAGGAGGACACUGGGCUGCACUCUGAGAAGUUCCUGGAUCUCCCCUGCACCAGAUCAUCAUGGCCAGAGAAAUUGGUUCACCUUCCCUGGGGUUCCUGGAGACUCCUCAGGUGGCUACCUGUCGACCGUCCCUCCUCGGCAGAGACCAGACCUGCCGCUCGUCUCCCAGCCCUGCGCCUGGCGUGUGUUUUGUCAACACCUCAGUGCAACAAGAAAGGACCGAGCCUGCAAGAACCAAGGUGAGGUUACUGCUGUGCUCUCCUUCCCGUCGACUCUCUCCUCCGAAGAGAGCAGAGAUGCCCCUCGUCUUCCAGCCCAGCUCUCCGUUGUUUCUCAACACCUCAGCGGGACAGAGCCUGCCAGAACCGAGCCACAGAAAAGUGUAUCUGAGAUGGAUAAUUUCAAAGGCCCCUAUGCUCAGUGCUCUGCUCAUUAUUCUAUGGCAAAAAUCCAACCAACCAUAGACAUACCCCAUAGAUAUGUGACACCUGAACCCCGUGAUGUCCACUGA